AUGAACGCUGGCGGCGUGCCUAAUACAUGCAAGUCGAGCGAACAGACGAGGAUCUUGCUCCUCUGACGUUAGCGGCGGACGGGUGAGUAACACGUGGCUAACCUACCUAUAAGACUAGGAUAACUUCGGGAAACCUGAUCUAAUACCUGAUAUUAUAUUUAACCGCAUGGUUCAAUAGUGAAAGACGGUUUUGCUUUCACUUAUAGAUGGAUCCGCUCCGCAUUAGCUAGUUGGUAAGGUAACGGCUUACCAAGGCAACGAUGCGUAGCCGACCUGAGAGGGGGAUCGGCCACACUGGAAGUGAGACACGGUACAGACUCCUAAGGGAGGCAGCAGUAGGGAAUCGUCCGAGAUGGGCGAAAGCCUGACGGAGCAACGCCGCGUGAGUGAUGAAGGUCUUCGGAUCGUAAAACGCUGUUAUUAGGGAAGAACAAAUGUGUAAGUAACUAUGCACGUCUUGACGGUACCUAAUAAGAAAGCCACGGCUAACUACGU
rnacentral:rRNA from 1 species